GAGCUCACUUUGGCAGGACAUAUACUAAAAUUAGAACAAUACAGAGAAGAUUAACAUGGCCAUUGAGCAAAGAUGACAUGCAAAUUUGUGAAGCCUUUCAUGUUUUC
ensembl:snRNA U6 U6 spliceosomal RNA